GUUUAUUUGAUGGUACCUACUACUCGGAUAACCGUAAACGAGAGUUAUUGCGGUAGGGAGACGAGAGUCGUCCCUAGUAGCUCGUCAGAGCUGCGACACUGUCAAAUUGCCUGGACAUCCCGCUACGCUGAGGAGACCGUCUGAUUGGGGAAACCUGAUCGGACACCGACGGUGAAAGCCGUCGGGUAUGGUAACACUUCCUCGGCUAGGGACUAUGGGCAGCCAAGCUCUAAAAGCCUCCUUGGCUCAAGAGUGCAGUUCACAGACUAAAUGGCAGUGGGUGUCCGCCUCCCCAGGCGGAUGCUUAAGAUAUAGUCGGUCCCCAUCGAGAGGUGGACCGUCGGAGGAAUGGGGCGUUCAGCCCCAGGAGAGCCGAUGGUGUCUGACGACUGGAGUCGCCAGGCGGAGCAAACGAGUAAUUCUAGAGCUAAUACGUGCGUAAAUCCCGACUCCU
rnacentral:ncRNA from 14 species